GAAAGCUGGUCAAGUGGCCACCAGUUAGAGCAUGGAAACAUAGGUGUGAUCAAAGCCUAAACUGUCUUGUUGCAGGGCUCUCACCUGCCUGAAGGGAGUAGUGGAUUUCAGCAUUAGCUCCUUGGUCCUGAUCAAGGGCUCUGACUUGUAUAACCUCUGUGCCCACCACUGCUGAGUCCAGCACUUCUGCUUCAUAGUGGAUGCUGCUGAACUGCGGAGGGUGGAGGUUGCAGCUGUCCACAUGGACGAUGACUCGGACAAAGUUCCGCUUGAUGGGGACCUCCUGGUCUCGCACCUGAACGACAGAGGAAGAGCAGGCACAGUCACACUUGGGGAGAAGGCAGCCUUGCCUGCACCAGCUUCCAAGCAACUCAUCAGGACUGCUAUAGAGGUCUUCCAGUGCAGUGAGGGCUGGAAUUCUGGCUGCUUCUCAUGUGUGGAGAGAAUGGUUGGUGGAAGAUCAAGCCCUGAACAGCCCUCCUCAGGGCAGGAAAGGAAGAGA